rnacentral:rRNA from 1 species
GUUAUAUGGUCAAGCGAAUAAGCGCACACGGUGGAUGCCUAGGCGGUCAGAGGCGAUGAAGGACGUGGUAGCCUGCGAAAAGUGUCGGGGAGCUGGCAACAAGCUUUGAUCCGGCAAUAUCCGAAUGGGGAAACCCACUGCUUCGGCAGUAUCCUGCAGUGAAUUCAUAGCUGCUGGAAGCGAACCCGGUGAACUGAAAUAUCUAAGUAACCGGAGGAAAAGAAAUCAACCGAGAUUCCCUAAGUAGUGACGAGCGAACGGGGAGCAGCCCUUAAGCUGGAAUGGCUUUAGAAAAACAAUCUGGAAAGAUUGGCCAUAGAAGGUGAUAGCCCUGUAUUUAAAAGGGCCACUCCAGUGAAGACGAGUAGGGCGGGGCACGUGAAACCCUGUCUGAAUAUGGGGGGACCAUCCUCCAAGGCUAAAUACUCCUGACCGACCGAUAGUGAACCAGUACCGUGAGGGAAAGGCGAAAAGAACCCCGGAGAGGGGAGUGAAAUAGAUCCUGAAACCGUGUGCGUACAAGCAGUAGGAGCUCGCAAGAGUGACUGCGUACCUUUUGUAUAAUGGGUCAGCGACUUACUGUUCGUGGCAAGCUUAACCGUAUAGGGGAGGCGAAGGGAAACCGAGUCUGAUAAGGGCGCAUAGUCGCGGGCAGUAGACCCGAAACCGGGUGAUCUAGUCAUGGCCAGGGUGAAGGUGCCGUAACAGGUACUGGAGGCCCGAACCCACGUCUGUUGCAAAAGACGGGGAUGAGCUGUGAUUAGGAGUGAAAAGCUAAUCGAACCCGGAGAUAGCUGGUUCUCCUCGAAAGCUAUUUAGGUAGCGCCUCGGACGAAUACUACUGGGGGUAGAGCACUGUUAUGGCUAGGGGGUCAUCGCGACUUACCAAACCAUUGCAAACUCCGAAUACCAGUACGUACUAUCCGGGAGACACACGGCGGGUGCUAACGUCCGUCGUGAAAAGGGAAACAACCCAGACCCACAGCUAAGGUCCCAAAUUCACUGCUAAGUGGAAAACGAUGUGGAAAGGCAUAGACAGCCAGGAGGUUGGCUUAGAAGCAGCCACCCUUUAAAGAAAGCGUAAUAGCUCACUGGUCGAGUCGGUCUGCGCGGAAGAUUUAACGGGGCUAAGCAGUGAACCGAAGCUUGGGGUGCAUAAAACUUGUUUUAUGCGCGGUAGAGGAGCGUUCCGUAAGCCUGCGAAGGUGGAUUGAGAAGUCUGCUGGAGGUAUCGGAAGUGCGAAUGCUGACAUGAGUAACGAUAAUGCGGGUGAAAAGCCCGCACGCCGAAAGCCCAAGGUUUCCUUGCGCAACGUUAAUCGACGCAGGGUUAGUCGGUCCCUAAGGCGAGGGCGAAAGCCGUAGUCGAUGGGAAGCAGGUUAAUAUUCCUGCACCUCGCGUGAGUGCGAUGGAGGGACGGAGAAGGUUAGGUGUACCGGGCGUUGGUUGUCCCGGGGAAAGGCGGUAGGUUUGGAUCUUUGGCAAAUCCGGGAUCCUUUAAGACCGAGCACCGAGACGAGCCUUUAUGGCGAAGUCACUGAUACCACGCUUCCAGGAAAAGCUCCUAAGCUUCAGCUCACGAAGACCGUACCGUAAACCGACACAGGUGGGUAGGAUGAGAAUUCUCAGGCGCUUGAGAGAACUCGGGUGAAGGAACUAGGCAACAUGGCACCGUAACUUCGGGAGAAGGUGCACCCUUUUUGGUGGCUCGUGCGAGCUAUAGCUGAAGAGGGUCGCAGAAACCAGGCCGCUGCGACUGUUUAUCAAAAACACAGCACUCUGCAAACACGAAAGUGGACGUAUAGGGUGUGACGCCUGCCCGGUGCUGGAAGGUUAAUUGAUGGGGUCAGCCGCAAGGCGAAGCUCUUGAUCGAAGCCCCAGUAAACGGCGGCCGUAACUAUAACGGUCCUAAGGUAGCGAAAUUCCUUGUCGGGUAAGUUCCGACCUGCACGAAUGGCGUAACGACAGCGGCGCUGUCUCCACCCGAGACUCAGUGAAAUUGAAAUCGCUGUGAAGAUGCAGCGUUCCCGUGGCAAGACGGAAAGACCCCGUGAACCUUUACUAUAGCUUUACACUGAACGUUGAGUUCGUCUGUGUAGGAUAGGUGGGAGGCUAUGAAACUGUGGCGCUAGCUGCAGUGGAGCCAUCCUUGAAAUACCACCCUGUCGUGCUUGACGUUCUAACCUAGGUCCGUUAUCCGGAUCAGGGACCGUGUAUGGUGGGUAGUUUGACUGGGGCGGUCUCCUCCUAAAGAGUAACGGAGGAGCACGAAGGUACGCUCAGCGCGGUCGGACAUCGCGCACUGUGUGCAAAGGCAUAAGCGUGCUUGACUGCAAGAUCGACGGAUCAAGCAGGUACGAAAGUAGGUCUUAGUGAUCCGGUGGUUCUGUAUGGAAGGGCCAUCGCUCAACGGAUAAAAGGUACUCCGGGGAUAACAGGCUGAUACCGCCCAAGAGUUCAUAUCGACGGCGGUGUUUGGCACCUCGAUGUCGGCUCAUCACAUCCUGGGGCUGUAGUCGGUCCCAAGGGUAUGGCUGUUCGCCAUUUAAAGUGGUACGCGAGCUGGGUUCAGAACGUCGUGAGACAGUUCGGUCCCUAUCUGCCAUGGGCGUUGGAAGUUUGAGAGGGGCUGCUCCUAGUACGAGAGGACCGGAGUGGACGAACCUCUGGUGUUCCGGUUGUCACGCCAGUGGCAUUGCCGGGUAGCUAUGUUCGGAAGCGAUAACCGCUGAAAGCAUCUAAGCGGGAAGCGCGCCUCAAGAUGAGACUUCCCGGGGCACAAGCCCCCUAAAGGAACCAUGUAGACUACGUGGUUGAUAGGUCAGGUGUGUAAGUACAGCAAUGUAUUGAGCUAACUGAUACUAAUGAUCCGUGCGGCUUGACCAUAUAACCUCA